rnacentral:rRNA from 1 species
AACGAACGCUGGCGGCAUGCCUAACACAUGCAAGUCGAACGAAGGCUUCGGCCUUAGUGGCGCACGGGUGCGUAACGCGUGGGAAUCUGCCCCUCGGUUCGGAAUAACAGUUAGAAAUGACUGCUAAUACCGGAUGAUGACUUCGGUCCAAAGAUUUAUCGCCGAGGGAUGAGCCCGCGUAAGAUUAGGUAGUUGGUGGGGUAAAGGCCUACCAAGCCGACGAUCUUUAGCUGGUCUGAGAGGAUGAUCAGCCACACUGGGACUGAGACACGGCCCAGACUCCUACGGGAGGCAGCAGUGGGGAAUAUUGGACAAUGGGCGAAAGCCUGAUCCAGCAAUGCCGCGUGAGUGAUGAAGGCCUUAGGGCUGUAAAGCUCUUUUACCAGGGAUGAUAAUGACAGUACCUGGAGAAUGAGCUCCGGCUAACUCCGUGCCAGCCGCCGCGGUAA